rnacentral:tRNA from 1 species
CGUGUUGUGGCUUAGAGGUAGAGUGCUCGACUAGCAUGUGUGAGGCACUGGGUUCAAUCCUCAGCACCACAU